UUUUAAAUGGCCGCAGUAUUUUGACUGUGCAAAGGUAGCAUAAUCAUUAGUUUUUUAAUUAAAAGCUUGUAUGAAAGGCUGGACGAGGUAAAAUCUGUCUCUAUUUAAAUUAUAGUAGAAUUUAACUUUUAAGUCAAAAGGCUUAAAUGUUAUUAAAAGACGAGAAGACCCUAUAGAUCUUUAUAGUUUAUUAAAUUAAAUUAAUUUAGAAAUGUUAAUGUUUUAUUUAAUUAAGUUAUUUUAUUGGGGUAAUAAAAAGAUUGAAUUAAUUCUUUUUUAUAAUAAACAUUAAUUUAUGAAUAUUAAUGAUCCAGUUUUACUGAUUAUAAGAUUAAGUUACCUUAGGGAUAACAGCGUAAUUUUUUUAGAGAGUUCAUAUCGAUAAAAAAGUUUGCGACCUCGAUGUUGGAUUAAAGAUUAUUUUAGGUGUAGAAGCUUAAUAAUUUUGGUCUGUUCGACCAUUAAAUCUUUACAUGAUCUGAGUUCAGACCGGCGUAAGCCAGGUCGGUUUCUAUCUUUAAUAAAACAAAAUAUUUUAGUACGAAAGGACCAAAUAUUUGAUAUAUUUAUAUUUAACUUAUUGAAUAUUA
rnacentral:rRNA from 1 species